rnacentral:rRNA from 1 species
GCAGUCGAGCGGCAGCGCGGGGGCACCCUGGCGGCGAGCGGCGAACGGGUGAGUAAUACAUCGGAACGUGUCCUGGAGUGGGGGAUAGCUCGGCGAAAGCCGGAUUAAUACCGCAUAAGCUCUGAGGAGGAAAGCGGGGGAUUCGCAAGGACCUCGCGCUGUUGGAGCGGCCGAUGUCGGAUUAGCUAGUUGGUGGGGUAAAGGCCCACCAAGGCGACGAUCCGUAGCUGGUCUGAGAGGAUGAUCAGCCACACUGGAACUGAGACACGGUCCAGACUCCUACGGGAGGCAGCAGUGGGGAAUUUUGAACAAUGGGGGCAACCCUGAUCCAGCCAUUCCGCGUGAGUGAAGAAGGCCUUCGGGUUGUAAAGCUCUUUCGGACGGAACGAAAUGGUUACGGUGAAUACCCGUGACUGAUGACGGUACCGUAAGAAGAAGCACCGGCUAACUACGUGCCAGCAGCCGCGGUAAUACGUAGGGUGCGAGCGUUAAUCGGAAUUACUGGGCGUAAAGCGUGCGCAGGCGGCGGCUCAAGUCAGGUGUGAAAUCCCCGGGCCUAACCUGGGAACUGCAUUUGUGACUGCAUGGCUGGAGUGCGGC